rnacentral:misc_RNA from 1 species
GAUGAAGAACGUAGCGAAAUGCGAUAAGUAAUGUGAAUUGCAGAAUUCAGUGAACCAUCGAAUCUUUGAACGCACAUUGCGCCCGGCAGUAAUCUGCCGGGCAUGCCUGUCCGAGCGUCAUUUCUACCCUCGAGCGAGUCCAGCAUCUAGGUGCUGGGCCCGCCCGGCGUUGGAGCACUACGGGAAGCCCUGUGCUGUCCCCCGUAGGCCCCGAAAUGAAGUGGCGGUCCUGCCGCGGCGCCCCCUGCGUAGAAUAACAGCUCGCUUCGGGACCCGGUGGAGGCCUGCCGUCAAACCUAUACUCUCUAAGUUUGACCUCGGAUCAGGUAGGGUUACCCGCUGAACUUAAGCAUAUCAAUAAGCGGAGGA